GAUGGGGUGGGCUGGUGUCGAGAUGAAAGACUCCAGUAGGUGGAGGAUGGACCUCGCUUGUUAACAUAUCAGAGCUUCAAGGGCGUCCAGUGAGAUCAAAGCGGCCAAAAAAGCAUGAACGUAAUCCAUCAAAGUCCCCGAUGAGGCUUUCACUGUCCCCUUAAUGGCCUUUCAUGAUGAGCCACAAAGAGAGCCUCAUAAUGGGCCUCAGACAAAGUCGAAUGUGGCUUUUUUGUUUGUCAUCAAACCCGAGCAGCCCCCUUCUCCCACCCACCGCCGCCUUUCGUGUAUUCAUCAAAUCAGUUUCUCAGGGACCCUUGCUGGGAAGACCCUGCUAAUCCAAACAGAAAUUGAACAGGACUACCACGCGUUUCAACGCCGAUGUGAAUGUCUUGAGUAACCCUUUCAACCUAAGCGCAGGGUUUAGCCGCCCCCUCGAUCCCGCCAAAAUAAAAAGAAAUAACAUGUCCACUAGGACAAGACGGACCGCGCAGAUAAAGAGUAGCCCGACAACGCUGCGCUUUGUCUUCUGAUGGCUUCGGCACCAGGGACAUUCCACACCUGUGAAACCGAAUGAAAUCCGAUUGCGGCAUUUUCCUUCUUCCAACGCAAUUGCAACUGGAAUACGAUUGGCCGUGCGCCGUUGAAACCCUGGAGGCUAAUAUUGCACGAAAGGCGAGAACCUUCACGUAUAUGAACAUGGAGAUGCGCUGACAACGACUUUGCGCGCAAGUAUUUCUUUCUGUGCCAAGUAAGCAGAAUGGACGGUAAAAAUACGUGUUGUAAUCUGGUGCCGCUUGCUGUUUUGCCAUUUUGCUGCCCAGAGAUUCCAAAUUUGAUGGCUGCCACCAAAGUGUAACUGCAAAAUUCUCUACAUCUGCGAGACGAGAACAAAUGAAAGUCAAUUGCUCCCACUAACAGGCAGAUGCACUCGAGCGGCAUGUCGAGGUCCCUGACCCGAUCAUCCGCCUCGCCGGUUCCGGAAGAAUCCUUUUCCGCCCCCCGCGGCGAGCAAAGCCGGCGCAGCGGCGCACCAUCCGCAGCCCGCGACUAACAGCCGAGCGCCACAAGCAGUUAGCGGUGACGGCGGCCCGGAGAAGCUGCCAGAUGCAACAGAAUGAUGUCAAAUGACUACUUUUCUAUCAGACGGAGCCAAUUUGAAAAUGCGCUCCUCCCCUCACUUCACCAUACUUCCAAGGCACGAGAGGGCACAAAACGAUGACUUUUCUGUUACGCAAGACUUUUGUGGGAAAGCAUGCUCAAAAAACAGUGAAUCCACUGUCAAGUGGACUUGUGGUGUGAUGUUUGAGGAAUUUGGUCUGCCUCACGGUGCGCAAGGCCCCGGCCUUCCCCUGUGGAGUUUGCGCGUUUGCCCCGUGCCUGCCUGUGGCUUUUCUCCGGGUACUCCGCUGUCGUCCCGCGUUCCAAAAACACGCACGCUCGGUUAAUCGAUCACCCUGGAUUGUCCCUAGGUGCGAGUGUGAACGGUCGUUGGUCUGCGUGCGCUCGAAUGGCCGGCAACCAUUUGAAGGUCUAGCCCGCCGGCUGCCCAAAGUCGGCCGGGAUAGGCUCCGGAAUGCCCCGCGACCCUUUUGCGGGUACAAAGCGGCUCAGAUAAUGGAUGGAUGAACUCUCGGCCCGUUUAGCCGACGAACAAGUUGAAUAUUCUCUCGUGUAGAUAGGGCGGGCUCACUGCGCCGUCUGCCAUUAUAGAAGAGCGUCGAAAUGUUUCGUCUUGUCGUCGCAAAUGGAUCGAGGAACAGCAUUACAUUCAAAGGCGGUGAAUCGGCAGCGUGCGUAAAAGUGGCAGCUCGUCAUCCGAACGAGCGGGUCGGCCCACGCCGCAACUGGCACUUUGGCGCACGGCGAGUCUCGCGGGAUCCCCGACGCCGUCGGCUGUUACCAAGCCGACCGAUUAGUGACAGACAAAUUGGCCGUGGGUUCGGGGAAAAGGUGAAUGUUAAAAUAAGGCGGCGUGCGGAUUUCCACCUUUCGCUCCCACUCACUUCCCGAGGGACUCUCAGCCGGUGAGUCACGCGAAUAAAUAGCGUGAGGCGUUACGCUGACUCACAACGGAGGAACAAGGCAUGAAAAAUACCUUCCACUGCCAUGAAAGGAGGAGCGGCGCCUCCUUCCCUUUUUUCUUUGGUGUUUAUUUACCUUGCCAAUGACACCCCGAACCUCUUUGGACAGAACGUCGAUGCGUGUGGUCUCUCGGGCCACGUUUGGCCCAACGCGUGCAACUUUCCCCCAGCGCCAGAGCUCCCCUUUGGCCUUCCCUCUACCUCUAACUAAACAUUGCAGGAUGGCAAAAGGGAACUUCAAAGUGCCCAGAGGGGGUACUUCUUUUCCUCCCCCCUUGUUCCUGGCACUUGUCAUCAUCUAAGAGACUGGCUGCUCCCCUUAUUACUCUAAUUGCUUCCAACUGCCGCGGGAGGCUUUGAUGCGGGACGCCCGCCAAGCAUGCUGGGAGCACCUGUUGUUGCGCAGGGGGAGCACAGGUGGCGGGGCGCCGCAUCUUGUUUUUUUCCCGCAACAUGCACACGGCUAGAAAGAAAAACAAGGCAGUGUGGAGGCUUUUUAAUGGCACUUUUGGAAGCAGAGUCGGUCCUGACACAAGUGUGGGUUGGGAUGGGAGGGGGGGAGGUCGUAAAACACUCUGGUACCAUCUUGUGGCAGCUAGAAGUCCAGCAGCUGAAAAAGGAAGGACAAAGGGAAGGUGUUAAAAUGGCAGAGCCUGAAGCUGGUGAAUAUUUUCCUGUAUUUCAAUCGAUUCAUUGAGUCAUCAUUUUUUAUGUGUGUGUGUGUGUGUGUGUGUGUGUGUGUGUGUGUGUGUAUGUAUAUAUAUAUAUAUAUAUAUAUAUAAAAUAACAUAGCAAAUUAUGCACGUCAAGUCCCAAUAUUGGUUUUGUAUACUUUAGGUUGCAAUAUUACAGCUUUAAUCUUGUAAAAAAAACAUAUAUAUAUAUAUAUAUUUCUUUUUUAAUACUGUACAGCUGGAUUAGAUUUUAUGCGUGUGUAUGUGUACCAAGAUGCUAUGACCAGUGAGUGUAGAAUGUGUAUUGCUCCACACCAGCUGAGGCAGGAUCUUUUCAAAGUGCUCGAUGUCCACUUGAUCGCAAUCCUCGCAUUCAGCUUGUUUCUGAGAGCGCACGGUCGCCUCUGACAACCGCAAGAACAUGAAUAUAUCAUCAUCAUUGUUGGGUCUUAGGUAGAAUAAUAUCUGUGUAAUGGCAACCUUUACCUUGGACAAAUAUUUUCAGCAUCUCUGCCACGAGUAAUGUAGCCUCUACGCUUACUGCCACACAAGAGAUUAAAGAAAAAAAGUUGAGUUGAGCAAUCACAAGCACUUUUCAUCAAAGAGAGAAAA